UUAUAUAUUUUUGCGCUAGUGGGGCAGCCUACUGGAAACGCGCGGUACUAUGGAGACGGUUGGGUCAAAUUAAUUUGACAUUCUUCCCCCAGCGCAAGAGCACAUUGUAUGAAUGUGGCUUUGUUUACAUGCGGCUGUUUUCGUGUGUUUUCAUCGUGAUUGCCCGGUUCUGCUAUCUUAGUGCUUUGGUUGGUUUUCCCUAUGAACAUUUUCCUCCUCAACCAAUGGUUCUGCUGCACUUGUCUCAUCGCGUUAAGGAUCACGUCUCUGCCGUCGAACGCUUCCAUCGGAUGAUCUUCGUUCGGAAUUCCAUAGAAAUGGUUCGGCGUAAGGGCAGGUUUUGAUGGGUGCCUUCGUCAGUGGCUGGGAGUUGACGACAUCUGUCGCGCCGAUGAAGUUUGCACCGCGAUCACUAACGCUAGAAUCUUCCCAGUCAAGGCGCCCGUGCACAAAAUCGCACGCUUGUCCGUUCGAGUCCCGUGUUGCAACGUAUACAUCCCAUUACGGAUUUCGAAGCCACCUUUCGCUUCGAUGAUUCGAAUCUCUUCCGAUUGUCUGGUUCACGUGUGAACACGUGGUAAUUGCCGUAAGCGUUUGCGUCUUGCCGCAAGGAUCCACGGGGAUACGGUCCGAAGGCGAUCCAAUCUAAGCGGGUUUUGAUGGCGGCUGGCUCCUGUUUCCUUCCCUCCACGAAUGCAAAUGGACGCAUUAGCUGUCAAUUAUCGAUGCCGAUGAGAAUUUGCGGUGUCACGUCGGAAUAAGAUCGCAACUUUAGACCUUCCAGAUGCUUAUACUUUCUAGACGUAGCAUCUGCUGAAAAAAAUGGUGAAGUCUCGCCGGUCCCUCUGACGCACAACGGAUGCGGUGUCGCUUUAAGACUCAUUUCCACGAUCAAAAUCUCUUCAAUGGACAUUCCCGUUGAACCACUAUAAAAAACACGUACGUCUCCACGGCCUUAUUGUCGCCAAAUAAAACCAGAGCGGGUAUUGCUGCAGUCGAGGCCGGAGUUCUGGUCAGCUCAACGGUUUCAAUCUGUUGCUGCAAAAUACUCACUUGAAGCCUUUCUGACUGUAGUUUCACUAUAUGUAUCUGGAGAUCGUUUUGUCGGCGCAGGAUAUCGGAAUCCAUCACUGCUACUUCUUCCCAGCUCAUCCGAAACGGAUCAAGCGACGUUUAUCGGCCAUCGAGCCAUGGCUGUGGAUUUCGCUGCGAUGGCGUAGUGACACUCGUCGAUGGCGUCUGUUGGCGUCUCUCAAAGUGUGAUGUUAUCGGUAGAUUUGGUAUGGUGGAUGUGAAGUUGAGUGUUGCGGCAUUCGUCAGCGUAAUCGGUGUCGCGAGUGUGGAAGAGUGUGCCGUUCUUACGUCGUCUUCGCGAGUCGCGCUAACCGUGGUUGCUGGUUCGCGUCGUUGACCGGAGUUGACCCCACUUGACCCCGGGUCGGUGGUGUGUGCCGCGAGCGGCGCUUGGCGUGGAUUUCUACCCAUACUGCUGGGAUCUGCAGUACGCAGAUCUACCUGUUCCAGCCUCGUCUACCUGGAAGUUUUCCGCGUCGCAUAUCUUCCAUGGUAAUGUGUUCGCUUCCCGCUCCGACGCUAGGCUGUCGCGAUUCAGAAUCGCUCACAAACGACACUUAGCGUCUUGCGGUACGAGAAUUCACUCCUAGUGAUCGCUUAUUAUGGACCACGACCGUACUAUGUGAUUCGGAAUCGGUGGAGUGACAUAUGUGAUUCGGAAUCACAAACGGACUGUCCGGAGUUUGUUCCGCAUGAUACUUUGGUUACGGUUACGACACUUAGCUGCGGUGUUGCCCUAGUGUUCUUACGCGACGUACGUGUGUGCGUGGAAUUGCGUAUUCGCUACCGUUACAUUUAAAAAUGUGCUUACCAUCGUUCAAUUCCACUAGAAGAGAGGUUCAACAUUUGGACCAUCUAAAGUUUCUCCGUCGUCAAAAGCAGUUUGGAAGCACCCGUAAGGACCUUUAAAAUGUCUGCUCUUGUUGGUUUUCGUGGUAUUUCCGAAAAAUUCGUCUUGAAGGUUUUGUCACUUCCCGACAUUUUCCUCAAGACAAGCACUGCCCACAAAAACUAACUGUUAGUAAUUUGGAAAGCACAUUUGGUUUUUUGUCAUUUCUCUCGACCCUACAGUCAUUUACUCCACUAUACGACCACCUGUUGUUUUUGAUUUUUUAAACAACAAAAUUGGUUUUAUUUGACAAUAAUAUUUACAUUAAUAGGUCGCUUUGAACAUCCUGACAGGUAUCCUCCUAUUUAGUGUUUACGCUGUAGUUUUCUACCGAAUUUAAUUAAUUUGAAGAAAAUAAGUCAUAUUUUUAUGAAGACCAGUUAUACUAACUGGUAGAGGAAGGUCACUUAAGCUGCCUUCAUGAAAGGAAUCAUCCCAUAUAUUAUUUGAAUCUACUUAAUCUAUCUUACGUACCUAAAGUAUCUAACUAACUAACCUAAAUUAUCUUAUUUUAAACAAGGCAAUAUUUAUAAUAUGUACAUUUUCAAAUCUCUUGCCUAAUCAUCAAGGAACAACGUCUGAAUCAUCCUAAAAUUGGAUGAGAGACAUUUAUGUUUAAGGUUAUCCAGAUUUUGUUGGAUCUGAUCCCCGUCAAUCCUUGACGGGUGAUUGAGGAUCAUUUUCAAAAAUUUGUUUUGUAUUCGCAGUACAGCAAGGAUACUCCUGUUGGAGCAUGACCCCCAGAUGUGUGAUCCAUAUAGAAUUGCAGGUAGUAUAACUUGUAUGUACAGUAUAAGUUUGCUUUCUAUUGUAAGAGUGGACCGUCUUUUGAUAAGAGGAUAUAGACUGAGUAGAAGACCGCAUGUUUAGAUUAAAGCUUUUCAAUAUGAGCGUUAAAUGUCAGGAGGCUAUCUAGUGUAAUGCCGAGAUACCGCAUGGUAGGGGUCCAGGGGAGUGGAUUGUCGUGGAUUGCUAUUUGAAUCACUUUCCGUUGGAUUGUCGCCAUAGUACGCUUUCGGUAAGGUAGAACAAUGGCCUGCAUUUUACUGCUGUUCACCAGUAUCUUCCAGUCGUUUAAAUGUUUUAAAUAUUUAUCAACGCUUUUUUGCAGUUCAGAAUGGAGGUUUGCAUAGACUGGAGAGCUAUGCAUUAUUGCAGUAUCGUCUGCGUAAAGAGAAAGUUGCGCACGUUGAUUUAGGGAUGGAACAUCAGUAGUGUAGCAAUUGUGUAGAAGAGGUCCUAAGACGCUCCCCUGAGGAACACCUGCACUGUUACUGUAGGGCUCUGAUAGGAUUCGGAAGGUCGGAAGGUAGCUUUGAAUGAUUUUUAAAAUGUACUUUGGAAAAUCUUGUACUUUCAAUUUGUGCAGAAGCUCAUGGUGCCAUACGUUAUCAAAGGUUUUUGUAAUGUCUAAAAGUGUUAAGGCAGUGGACCAGCCACGGAUUUUGCCCUGGUUUAUGCUGUUAAUCAUACGUUGCAGUUGAUGAGACGUAGAGUGAGCUUUCCUGAAACCAAAUUGAACUUCAGUCAGGGUGUUAUUCUCAGAGCAAUGGUUUUCCAUUCUUGCAUGAAUAAUGCGCUCCAGGAUUUUGCUGAGAACGCACAGUAAGGAGAUAGGCCUAUAACUGGAAGCCAUGCAGGGAUCUUUCCCAGGUUUCCUGAUAGGAAUAACCUUUGCAUGUUUCCAGCGAGCUGGUAAAUAUCCUAACUCAAGGCACCUAUUGAAGAUGUUGGUCAGUAGGGUCAAAGAAUUGACCAAGAUGUUUUAGGCAGAUGUUGAAAGAGCCAUCCGGCCCGGUGCCUUGAAGGAAACACUGUAUUUGAUUAUGAAUUUCACUUCGUGAGGUCCUGUUUAUGACUAAAGCAGGGUCAGAGUGGGAAUUGAUUUCACCAAUACUAUUUUGCACAAUGUUUUCAUGCGGACUGGUCAUUGUGUCGCUGAUGUUAUGCGAGCUAGCAAAAACGUUGGCUAAUAAGGAUACUUUUUUUGUGGUGUAAAGCAAAUAACAAAUGGGGUUACCUUUCAGAGGAGGAAUGGGUUUGGGCUUAGUGCGCGAGAAGGGUUGGGAAUUUUUGGGAAGAUUCUUUACCAUCUUGGAGAAUCGUUGGUUAUUAUGUAACCUAAGCCUAUAUUCGAAAAGUUUAGCCGCUUGACGGAAAGCGGAGGCCCUAUCCCUGUCCUUUGGUAAUGUUCUUUUGGUCGAUUAGACCUUUUGUUUCACGGUCAAGCUGGAUGAGUUUUGUACUUAUUUCAACGCGAGGAACGCACGAACUUACCGCGUUGUUUAGACAGGCUUCGAGCAUGGUGAUGGCUGCGUCAAUGUCGUUGAUUGUGUUAAGCGGAAUUUCGGCGUUGAUAGUAGCUUCCGUAAUGCGUUGAAAUCUCGUCCAAUCCGCUGCACGAUAGUUUAGGCGUUCCUUCCUGGGCUCGGUCCCCGAACCAUCGAUUUUCAUCAAUACAGGCAGGUGAUCUGAAGAAAGUGCUGUGAUCGCUGUGGGUUCAUUUACCACCAUGUUGGUCAGGAACAAAUCAAGGGUAGAGAAACUUCCAUUUUUGUAGUAUGUCGGCUGCGGUGGGAAUUCUACUGUGUAAAAUCCUGCCUGAAGGUCAUCCCACAAAAUUGUUCCGUUUCUGUUGGCGAUAGAUUUGCUCCAUUGGCGGUGUCUGGCGUUCAAAUCACCGGCGAUGAUGUAUUGAUGUGUAUUUCGUGUAAGCUUUUGUAGAUCAUUUUUCAGGAUCUGAAUUGAACCGUCGCUUCCCCUAGCUUGCUUCGCACAAUAGGCUAAAUAGAAGCGGAGCGUUCCUUGUGUAGUGGAGAUUUCUAUUCCAACAGACUCAACCAGUUUGGUCUCUGUGAGAGGAAGUACACGGAAUUUAAGAGACCGAUGCACUGCUAUCGCUACAACGCCUCCUAGGCUCUGCCGAUCUACACGUACAACAGCAUGCUCCGGAAGAUAGAAGGAUUGUGUUGGUUUUAAGUGCGUUUCCGUCAAGGCAAGCAAUGAGAUAUCCUCGUUUUUGACGAAAUCAAUAAGUUCCAAUAGCAAUACGGCCAGGCCGUUCGUUAUGAAUAAAAAAAAA